UGCGUGACAGCGGCAGUUUUCGGGCGGCGGUCGAAGCGAUCGGACGUGUGUGUGUCGUGCGUGCAUUUUGUUCGUUAAAUUGUUAAAUAAAUUGUUAAACGCGAAUUAAUCGAAGUGAUGCUGUGCUGUGCUGUGCUGUGAAGUGAAAUUUUGGAGAAAAUCGCACAACACGGGACCGUUUAACCGCAAAAAUUUUUAUCACAUGUUUUGAAGCAAGGGUCGUACUGUUGCUCACCCAACACGAAUAAACAGUCGUCAAAUGUGCUAACCAUUGCAAUUUCCGCUUGGAGUUACGAAUUUUGAAAGCUCAAAAGCUGGUGUCUGUGUUGGAUUGCUUUAUGGACUGGUUGCGGCCGGCCUGCGGGAUCCGGAGGACUUCAAAGACGUUCUUCGUCUGGAUCUUCAAAAAUUAUUUUUUUUUAACUGGCAAUAAUUAUUAUUGAACAUUGUUAUAUAUUUGUGUGAUUGUUUAUGUUUUAUGAAUAAACGCUAGAGAAAUG